GGGGAGACCUGAUCAGGGGGGACGAGGUGAACGGGUGGGGUCCCAGGAGCUUGGUUCUGCCCCCGUCUCACCUUGGCAGCGGCUGUGACCGCGGCAUUGGCGGCCAGGUUCAGGCCCCUCUUGCCCACCCUCAUCAUGGUCUCAUAGCUCUUGUCUCGGGCCUGGGUGAUGUACUCGUC